GUGGAUAAUAGUGGAUUAUAGUGGAUUAUAGUGGUGAGUAACAGUGGAUUAUAGUGGAUUAUAGUGGUGUAUAACAGUGGAUAAUAGGGGUGUAUAACAGUGGAUAAUAGUGGAUUAUAGUGGAUUAUAGUGGAUUAUAGUGGUGAGUAACAGUAGAUUAUAGUGGAUAAUAGUGGUGUAUAACAGUGGAUUAUAGUGGAUUAUAGUGGUGUAUAACAGUGGAUUAUAGUGGAUUAUAGUGCUGUAUAACAGUGGAUUAUAGUGGAUUAUAGUGGUGUAUAACAGUGGAUUAUAGUGGUGUAUAACAGUGGAUUAUAGUGCAUUAUAGUGGUGUAUAACAGUGGAUUAUAGUGGAUUAUAGUGGAUUAUAGUCAUGUUUAACAGUGGAUUAUAGUGGAUUAUAGUGGUGUAUAACAGUGGAUUAUAGUGGAUUAUAGUGGAUUAUAGUGGUGAGUAACAGUGGAUUAUAGUGGAUUAUAGUGGUGUAUAACAGUGGAUAAUAGUGGUGUAUAACAGUGGAUAAUAGUGGAUUAUAGUGGAUUAUAGUGGAUUAUAGUGGUGAGUAACAGUGGAUUAUAGUGGAUAAUAGUGGUGUAUAACAGUGGAUUAUAGUGGAUUAUAGUGGUGUAUAACAGUGGAUUAUAGUGGAUUAUAGUGGUGUAUAACAGUGGAUUAUAGUGGUGUAUAACAGUGGAUUAUAGUGCAUUAUAGUGGUGUAUAACAGUGGAUUAUAGUGGUGUAUAACAGUGGAUUAUAGUGGAUUAUAGUGGUGUAUAACAGUGGAUUAUAGUGGUGUAUAACAGUGGAUUAUAGUGGAUUAUAGUGGACUAUAGUGGUGUAUAACGGUGGAUUAUAGUGGAUUAUAGUGGUGUAUAACGGUGGAUUAUAGUGGAUUAUAGUGGUGUAUAACAGUGGAUUAUAGUGGAUUAUAGUGGAUUAUAGUGGUGAGUAACAGUGGAUUAUAGUGGAUUAUAGUGGUGUAUAACAGUGGAUAAUAGUGGUGUAUAACAGUGGAUAAUAGUGGAUUAUAGUGGAUUAUAGUGGAUUAUAGUGGAUUAUAGUGGAUUAUAGUGGUGAGUAACAGUGGAUUAUAGUGGAUAAUAGUGGUGUAUAACAGUGGAUUAUAGUGGAUUAUAGUGGUGUAUAACAGUGGAUUAUAGUGGAUUAUAGUGGUGUAUAACAGUGGAUUAUAGUGGAUUAUAGUGGUGUAUAACAGUGGAUUAUAGUGGUGUAUAACAGUGGAUUAUAGUGCAUUAUAGUGGUGUAUAACAGUGGAUUAUAGUGGUGUAUAACAGUGGAUUAUAGUGGAUUAUAGUGGUGUAUAACAGUGGAUUAUAGUGGAUUAUAGUGGUGUAUAACAGUGGAUUAUAGUGGAUUAUAGUGGAUUAUAGUGGACUAUAGUGGUGUAUAACGGUGGAUUAUAGUGGAUUAUAGUGGUGUAUAACAGUGGAUUAUAGUGGAUUAUAGUGGUGUAUAACAGUGGAUUAUAGUGGAUUAUAGUGGAUGAUUUGGAAGAUCUAUUAGCAUCCAGUCCCUUUAGACACAGAAUGCUACAGCGUGAUAGACAGGUAGAAUGCUACAGCGUGAUAGACAGGCAGAAAGCUACAGCGUGAUAGAUAGAAUGCUACAGCGUGAUAGACAGGCAGAAUGCUACAGCGUGAUAGACAGGCAGAAUGCUACAGCGUGAUAGAUAGAAUGCUACAGCGUGAUAGACAGGCGAAUGCUACAGCGUGAUAGACAGGCAGAAUGCUACAGCGUGAUAGACAGGCAGAAUGCUACAGCGUGAUAGACAGGCAGAAUGCUACAGCGUGAUAGACAGGCAGAAUGCUACAGCGUGAUAGACAAGCAGAAUGCUACAGCGUGAUAGACAAGCAGAAUGCUACAGCGUGAUAGAUAGGCAGAAUGCUACAGCGUGAUAGAUAGAAUGCUACAGCGUGAUAGACAGGCAGAAUGCUACAGCGUGAUAGAUAGGCAGAAUGCUACAGCGUGAUAGAUAGGCAGAAUGCUACAGCGUGAUAGACAGGCAGAAUGCUACAGCGUGAUAGACAGGCAGAAUGCUACAGCGUGAUAGAUAGGCAGAAUGCUACAGCGUGAUAGAUAGGCAGAAUGCUACAGCGUGAUAGACAGGCAGAAUGCUACAGCGUGAUAGAUAGAAUGCUACAGCGUGAUAGACAGGCAGAAUGCUACAGCGUGAUAGAUAGGCAGAAUGCUACAGCGUGAUAGAUAGACAGGCAGAAUGCUACAGCGUGAUAGACAGGCAGAAUGCUACAGCGUGAUAGACAGGCAGAAUGCUACAGCGUGAUAGACAGGCAGAAUGCUACAGCGUGAUAGAUAGACAGGCAGAAUGCUACAGCGUGAUAGAUAGGCAGAAUGCUACAGCGUGAUAGAUAGGCAGAAUGCUACAGCGUGAUAGAUAGACAGGCAGAAUGCUACAGCGUGAUAGACAGGCAGAAUGCUACAGCGUGAUAGACAGGCAGAAUGCUACAGCGUGAUAGACAGGCAGAAUGCUACAGCGUGGUAGAUAGAAUGCUACAGCGUGAUAGACAGGCAGAAUGCUACAGCGUGAUAGACAGGCAGAAUGCUACAGCGUGAUAGACAGGCAGAAUGCUACAGCAUGAUAGACAGGCAGAAUGCUACAGCGUGAUAGACAGGCAGAAUGCUACAGCGUGAUAGAUAGUUAGGCAGAAUGCUACAGCGUGAUAGACAGGCAGAAUGCUACAGCGUGAUAGAUAGAAUGCUACAGCGUGAUAGACAGGCAGAAUGCUACAGCGUGAUAGAUAGGCAGAAUGCUACAGCGUGAUAGAUAGGCAGAAUGCUACAGCGUGAUAGAUAGGCAGAAUGCUACAGCGUGAUAGACAGGCAGAAUGCUACAGCGUGAUAGAUAGAAUGCUACAGCGUGAUAGACAGGCAGAAUGCUACAGCGUGAUAGAUAGGCAGAAUGCUACAGCGUGAUAGAUAGACAGGCAGAAUGCUACAGCGUGAUAGACAGGCAGAAUGCUACAGCGUGAUAGACAGGCAGAAUGCUACAGCGUGGUAGACAGGCAGAAUGCUACAGCGUGGUAGAUAGAAUGCUACAGCGUGAUAGACAGGCAGAAUGCUACAGCGUGAUAGACAGGCAGAAUGCUACAGCGUGAUAGACAGGCAGAAUGCUACAGUGUGGUAGACAGGCAGAAUGCUACAGCGUGGUAGACAGGCAGAAUGCUACAGCGUGGUAGACAGGCAGAAUGCUACAGCGUGAUAGAUAGACAGGCAGAAUGCUACAGCGUGAUAGAUAGACAGGCAGAAUGCUACAGCGUGAUAGAUAGGCAGAAUGCUACAGCAUGGUAGAUAGAAUGCUACAGCGUGAUAGAUAGACAGGCAGAAUGCUACAGCGUGAUAGACAGGCAGAAUGGUACAGCGUGAUAGACAGGCAGAAUGCUACAGUGUGGUAGACAGGCAGAAUGCUACAGCGUGAUAGAUAGACAGGCAGAAUGCUACAGCGUGAUAGAUAGGCAGAAUGCUACAGCAUGGUAGAUAGAAUGCUACAGCGUGAUAGAUAGACAGGCAGAAUGCUACAGCGUGGUAGAUAGGCAGAAUGCUACAGCGUGAUAGACAGGCAGAAUGCUACAGCGUGGUAGACAGGCAGAAUGCUACAGCGUGAUAGACAGGCAGAAUGCUACAGCGUGAUAGAUAGGCAGAAUGCUACAGCGUGAUAGACAGGCAGAAUGCUACAGCGUGAUAGAUAGAUAGGCAGAAUGCUACAGCGUGAUAGAUAGGCAGAAUGCUACAGCGUGAUAGAUAGAUAGGCAGAAUGCUACAGCGUGAUAGAUAGACAAGCAGAAUGCUACAGCGUGGUAGACAGGCAGAAUGCUACAGCGUGAUAGACAGGCAGAAUGCUACAGCGUGAUAGAUAGGCAGAAUGCUACAGCGUGAUAGACAGGCAGAAUGCUACAGCGUGAUAGAUAGAUAGGCAGAAUGCUACAGCGUGAUAGAUAGGCAGAAUGCUACAGCGUGAUAGAUAGAUAGGCAGAAUGCUACAGCGUGAUAGAUAGAUAGGCAGAAUGCAGAUGAGGAGUUUCGGCAAUGGUUCGGGUUCCAUUUUAAAGACGUGAAGGAAUCCCUGAAAGGGUGUAAAUUUAGAGGAUAUCGUUCUAGUGCAGUACUUGGAUGAUUUGUUUUUAGCCUCAAAAGACCAUGAUACUUACAUACGUGGCCUCACCACACCGGUUAACUAACUAUUUGGCAAAGCAGGACCAUGAAGCGUCGUAUGAAAAAAGGCCAAUUGGCAAACAGGAGGAAAUGUAUUAGGUGGUCUUGAUUUCUAAAGGCAUGACAAACAUUACUAGCACCACACAUCAACACCAUUCGUGCUCUGGCAUGACCAAACACUCCUCGAACGCUCAGACAAACCCUGGGGGGGGUUUAAUUUAAUGAGAAACCUUAAUCUGUCUUAUUCUGAAAUAGCUGAACCUCUUACAGAAUUGACGAAAAGGGAGGAGGGUUCCCCUUGAGAGAAAAGAGCGGAGUCAAGAUUGUGAGGAAGCGUUUUUGAAGAGUUAAGGAAACCGUUGUGUCAAGCGCAUGAACUGGAGUUUCCUUUUAAAAUGUUUGUGAAUGAACAACUGUUCAUUCACCUGUUCCUUCAGUUAAUCAUUUAUUAAUGUGAUGCAUUUCUUCAUCUAUUUGUUGAUGAAUUCCUUUCUGUGUUCUUCAGCUUCAUGUUAUCCUCCUCCAUACGGUGAUACCUUGGAGAAUACUGCCUCCUGGUGCUACAACAGGAGAAGUGUUGAAUGAUAAAAGCAGAGGCUUGGAACUGACAUGAAUACUGUACAAUGAUGUAUAAUGACCCUACAUGACUGACAGGGGGAGCUGUUUUGAUGCCAUGACCCUACAUGACUGACAGGGGGAGCUGUUUUGAUGCCAUGACCCUACAUGACUGACAGGGGGAGCUGUUUUGAUGCCAUGAACCUACAUUUAAAAAAUAUAUAUAUAUAUAUUUCACCUUUAUUUAACCAGGUAGGCAAGUUGAGAACAAGUUCUCAUUUACAAUUGCGACCUGGCCAAGAUAAAGCAAAGCAGUUUGACACAAACAACAACACAGAGUUACACAUGGAGUAAAACAAACAUACAGUCAAUAAUAUAUUAGAAAAAUAAGUCUAUAUACAAAGUGAGCAAAUGAGGUGAGGUAAGGGAGGUAAAGGAAAAAAAAGCCAUGGUGGCGAAGUAAAUACAAUAUAGCAACUAAAAAACACUGGAAUGGUAGAUUUGCAGUGGAAGAAAGUGCAAAGUAGAAAUAGAAAUAAUGGGGUGCAAAGGCAAAAUAAAUAAAUACAGUAGGGGAAGUGGUAGUUGUUUGGGCUAAAUUAUAGAUGGGCUAUGUACAGGUGCAGUAAUCUGUGAGCUGCUCUGACAGCUGGUGCUUAAAGCUAGUGAGGGAGAUAAGUAUUUCCAGUUUUAGAGAUUUUUGUAGUUCGUUCCAGUCAUUGGCAGCAGAGAACUGGAAGGAGAGGCGGCCGAAGGAGGAAUUGGCUUUGGGGGUGACCAGAGAGAUAUACCUGCUGGAGCGCGUGCUACGAGUGGGUGCUGCUAUGGUGACCAGUGAGCUGAGAUAAGGCGGAGCUUUACCUAGCAAAGACUUGUAGACGACCUGGAGCCAGUGGGAUUGGCGACGAGUAUGAAGCGAGGGCCAGCCAACGAGAGGGUACAGGUCGCAGUGGUGGGUAGUAUAUGGGGCUUUGGUGACAAAACGGAUGGCACUGUGAUAGACUGCAUCCAAUUUAUUGAGUAGGGUAUUGGAGGCUAUUUUGUAAAUGACAUCGCCGAAGUCGAGGAUCGGUAGGAUGGUCAGUUUUACGAGGGUAUGUUUGGCAGCAUGAGUGAAAGAUGCUUUGUUGCGAAAUAGGAAGCCAAUUCUAGAUUUAACUCUGGAUUGGAGAUGUUUGAUGUGAGUCUGGAAGGAGAGUUUAGUCUAACCAGACACCUAGGUAUUUGUAGUUGUCCACAUAUUCUAAGUCAGAACCGUCCAGAGUAGUGAUGCUGGACGGGCGGGUAGGUGCAGGCAGCGAUCGGUUGAAGAGCAUGCAUUUAGUUUUACUUGUAUUUAAGAGCAGUUGGAGGCCACGGAAGGAGAGUUGUAUGGCAUUGAAGCUCGUCUGGAGGGUAGUUAACACAGUGUCCAAAGAAGGGCCAGAAGUAUACAGAAUGGUGUCGUCUGCAUAGAGGUGGAUCAGAGACUCACCAGCAGCAAGAGCGACAUCAUUGAUGUAUACAGAGAAAAGAGUCGGCCCAAGAAUUGAACCCUGUGGCACUCCCAUAGAGACUGCCAGUGGCCCGGACAACUGGCCCUCCGAUUUGACACACUGAACUUUAUCAGAGAAGUAGUUGGUGAACCAGACGAGGCAGUCAUUAGAGAAACCAAGGCUGCUGAGUCUGCCGAUGAGGAUGUGGUGAUUGACAGAGUCGAAAGCCUUCGCCAGGUCAAUGAAUACGGCUGCACAGUACUGUUUCUUAGGACCUUGAGCGUGGCUGAGGUGCACCCAUGACCAGCUCUGAAACCAGAUUGCAUAGC
rnacentral:lncRNA from 1 species